GAUGAACGCUGGCGGCGUGCCUAAUACAUGCAAGUCGAGCGAACAGACGAGGAGUUUGCUCCUCUGACGUUAGCGGCGGACGGGUGAGUAACACGUGGAUAACCUACCUAUAAGACUGGGAUAACUUCGGGAAACCGGAGCUAAUACCGGAUAAUAUAUUGACCCGCAUGGUUCAAUAGUGAAAGACGGUGUUGCUGUCACUUAUAGAUGGAUCCGCGCCGCAUUAGCUAGUUGGUAAGGUAACGGCUUACCAAGGCAACGAUGCGUAGCCGACCGGAGAGGGUGAUCGGCCACACUGGAACUGAGACACGGUCCAGACUCCUACGGGAGGCACCAGUAGGGAAUCGUCCGCAAUGGGCGAAAGCUUGACGGAGCAACGCCGCGUGAGUGAUGAAGGUCUUCGGAUCGUAAAACUCUGUUAUUAGGGAAGAACAAAUGUGUAAGUAAAUAUGCACGUCUUGACGGUACCUAAUCAGAAAGCCACGGCUAACUACGUG
rnacentral:rRNA from 1 species